ensembl:lncRNA
GCCCAUAUCAAGGAGAAGUUACUUCAGUCGGUGCCCUCCCCCUUCAGCCUUUCUAUUGCCCCUGCUUUUCCAAGACAAAUUGCUGUGCAGUGUAACAGUCACUUAAAUCAUCCAAAACAGAGCAGCCCAGCAACAACUCCGGAGCAGCAUCAUACAAUUACACCAAGGAAAUCAUUUUUACGUUUCAUUAGUGCUUUUUAAUAGAGAAGAUCUGCUCCCAGGUGUGACCACCAAGGGGAUAGGUCGGGCUAUUCUUGUCCCCUUUCUACCCACCAGCUUUAAUGUGCAUGUGAAUCACCUGGGAGAUUCUGACCCAUGGUAUCUAGGGUGGGGGGAGGAGUGGGAAUCUGCCUUUUUAACCAUGUGGUGCUAAUGCCGCUGGUCAUUUGAGUAUCAAGAAGGCCUUAGAUGCCACAGAUAAACCCAGAAGGCCCAUGUGGAAACAUUCCCGUGCUGAUAGUUUUCUCUGCCAAGAUCUCAUUUAAUCCUAACAAUACUGCAAAGUGAGGUUAUUUAAAAAUUAUUCCCAUUUUCCAUCUGAGGCAACCAAGGUUCAGAGCCCAUUCGAACCUCAGUCAACUGGAUUCCUAAGUCUGGCUGUGAAUCAGAAUCACUUGGGGACUUUUUCAAAAUACAUUUUCUAGAAGAUUUCAAUUCUGAGUCUGAUGAAGUCAGCUGCCAUGCUGUGAGCUGCCUUAUGGAGGCCCACAUUGUGAGGAACUGAGAGAGGCCUCCGGUGAACAGAUGGUGAUAAACUGAGGGCAUCAGUCCAACAGUCCAUGGAGAACUGAAUCCUUCCAACAGCUACCCGAGCGAGCUUAAAAGCAGAUCCCCUCUCAGACAAGCCUUCAGAUGAGACUCCAGCCUCAGCUGCCACCUUUACAUUGUUAUGGGAAACACGGAUGGAGAAGAUCCAGCUAAGCCAUGCCCAGGUUCCUGACCCACAGAAAAUAUGAGACAAGAAGUGGUUGGUUGUUUGUUUUUCCUGCACUUGGUCUUUGCUGCUAUGUGCAGGCUUUCUCUAGUCUCAGUGAGUAGGGACUACUCUCUAGUUGUGGUGCAUGGGUUCUCAUUGCAGCGGCUUCUCUUGUUGCAGAGCAUGAGCUCUAGAGUGAGCAGGCUUCAGUAACUGCAGUACAUGGGCUUAGUUUCCCUGUGGCAUCUGGAAUCUUCCCAGACAAGGGGUCAAACCCAUGUCC